GAUGAACGCUGGCGGCGUGCCUAAUACAUGCAAGUAGAACGCUGAAGGAAGGAGCUUGCUCUUUCCGGAUGAGUUGCGAACGGGUGAGUAACGCGUAGGUAACCUGCCUGGUAGCGGGGGAUAACUAUUGGAAACGAUAGCUAAUACCGCAUAACAGUAGAUGUUGCAUGAUAUCUACUUAAAAGGUGCAAUUGCACCACUACCAGAUGGACCUGCGUUGUAUUAGCUAGUUGGUGAGGUAACGGCUCACCAAGGCGACGAUACAUAGCCGACCCGAGAGGGAGAACGGCCAACAUGGGACUGAGACACGGCCCAGACUCCUACGGGGGGGAGCAGUAGGGAAUCUUCGGAAAUGGACGGAAGUCUGACCGAGCAACGCCGCGUGAGUGAAGGAGGUUUUCGGAUCGUAAAGCUCUGUUGUAAGGGAAGAAAGAGUGUGAGAGUGGAAAGUCCACACUGUGACGGUAUCUUACCAGAAAGAGACGGCUAACUACGUG
rnacentral:rRNA from 1 species